UCUCAUAAUGGGGCCAAAGUAUGACAACCUCAGUUUAGUGAUCCUGGCUUCCAGGUUGGGGCAAAAGAAAGAACAAGGAAAUGGCAGAGCCACUGUAUAGAAAAGAUGAUGAAAUGCUGAUGGAGACAGAGAGAAGGCUGAACUAUUCAACACCUUUUAUGUCUCAGUCUUCUCCCAAAAACUGGAGAAAAUGGAACAAAUACUGCAAUAGGGGGAUUGGAGUCCACAAGUAUUUGUUGGUUUUUAAUACUGUAUAUAUGCUUUGAAAUAAGUUUUAACUCUUUUGAUAUUUUAAUCAUGUUUUAAUUUUGUUUUCAGUGAGGUCAACUUUCAUCUGUUUUAAUCUUUGUAAUUUGCCUUGAGUCCUAGAAUUGGGAUGUUAUUAGUGUUCCAAUUCUUACUGAGUCAUUGGUGAGUCUUUUAAGGCAUGUAAUGGUACAUUGUUUGGAAAUGUUACCUUUCUGGAAUUGAUUAAAUUAUGGCAUACCCAA